AUACAGAGGGCUCGAGCGUUAAUCGGUGUCACUGGGCUUAAAGGGUGUGUAGGCGGGCCCGCAAGUGUCUUGUGAAAUCCCACGGCUCAACCGUGGCAUGGCUUGGCAAACUGCGGGCCUUGAGGUCGGCAGAGGUCGCCGGAACUCUAGGUGUAGCGGUGAAAUGCGUAGAUAUCUAGAGGAACGCCCAAGGUGAAGACAGGCGGCUGGGCCGAUUCUGACGCUGAGGCACGAAAGCAUGGGUAGCGAACGGGAUUAGAAACCCCAGUAGUCC
rnacentral:rRNA from 1 species